GACGAACGCUGGCGGCGUGCUUAACACAUGCAAGUCGAACGGAAAGGCCCUGCUUUUGUGGGCUGCUCGAGUGGCGAACGGGUGAGUAACACGUGAGUAACCUGCCCUUGACUUUGGGAUAACUUCAGGAAACUGGGGCUAAUACCGGAUAGGAGCUCCUGCUGCAUGGUGGGGGUUGGAAAGUUUCGGCGGUUGGGGAUGGACUCGCGGCUUAUCAGCUUGUUGGUGGGGUAGUGGCUUACCAAGGCUUUGACGGGUAGCCGGCCUGAGAGGGUCACCGGACACGUUAGGACUGAGCUACGACACAGACUCGUACGGGACGCAGAAGUGGGGAGUAUUGUACAAUGGGCGGAAGCCUGAUGUAGCAACGCCGCGUGGGGGAUGACGGGCUUCGGGUUGUAAACCGCAUCUGUCUGUGACGAAGCGUGAGUGACGGUAAUGGGUAAAGAAGCACCGGCUAACUACGUG
rnacentral:rRNA from 1 species